AGAAUCUUCUUUCUUG
rnacentral:sRNA from 1 species